CCUACGGGAGGCAGCAGUGGGGAAUAUUGCACAAUGGGCGAAAGCCUGAUGCAGCAACGCCGCGUGAGUGAUGACGGCCUUCGGGUUGUAAAGCUCUGUCUUUUGGGACGAUAAUGACGGUACCAAAGGAGGAAGCCACGGCUAACUACGUGCCAGCAGCCGCGGUAAU
rnacentral:rRNA from 1 species